CGAACGGGUGAGUAACGCGUGAGGAACCUGCCUCAAAGAGGGGGACAACAGUUGGAAACGGCUGCUAAUACCGCAUAAGCCCACGGCUCGGCAUCGAGCAGAGGGAAAAGGAGCAAUCCGCUUUGAGAUGGCCUCGCGUCCGAUUAGCUAGUUGGUGAGGUAAUGGCCCACCAAGGCAACGAUCGGUAGCCGGACUGAGAGGUUGAACGGCCACAUUGGGACUGAGACACGGUCCAA
rnacentral:rRNA from 1 species